rnacentral:rRNA from 1 species
UACCUGGUUGAUCCUGCCAGUAGUCAUAUGCUUGUCUUAAAGAUUAAGCCAUGCAUGGCUAAGUAUAAGCAUUUAUACCGCGUGACUGCGAACGGCUCAUUAAAACAGUUAUGGUUUAUUUGAUGGUUCCUUUGCUACUUGGAUAACCGUAGUAAUUCUAGAGCUAAUACAUGCACGAAGGGGCGACUUACGAAGCCCUGUAUUUAUUAGAUUAAAGCCAACCGCCUCCGGGUGCUCGUGGUGAAUCAUAGUAACUAAUCGGAUCGCCGGCUCAAUGCCAGCGACGUGUCAUUCAAAUUUCUGCCCUAUCAGCUUUAGAUGGUAGGAUAUGGGCCUACCAUGGCGGUGACGGGUAACGGAGAAUUAGGGUUCGAUUCCGGAGAGGGAGCCUGAGAAACGGCUACCACUUCUAAGGAAGGCAGCAGGCGCGCAAAUUACCCAAUCCUGACUCAGGGAGGUAGUGACAAGAAAUAACAAUAAACCGGCUUAUGCCGGUUUAAUUGGAAUGAGUACAAUUUAAACAUCUUAACGAGGAACAAUUGGAGGGCAAGUCUGGUGCCAGCAGCCGCGGUAAUUCCAGCUCCAAUAGC